UACCAGCACCCCGAGUGGUCGGGACGAUUAUUGGGCCUAAAGCAUCCGUAGCCGGUCCUGCAAGUCCUCCGUUAAAUCCACCCGCUCAACGGUUGGGCCGCGGGGGAUACUACAGGGCUAGGAGGCGGGAGAGGCAAGCGGUACUCGAUGGGUAGGGGUAAAAUCCGUUGAUCCAUUGAAGAACACCAGUGGCGAAGGCGGCUUGCCAGAAUGCGCUCGACGGUGAGGGAUGAAAGCUGGGGGAGCAAACCGG
rnacentral:rRNA from 1 species